rnacentral:rRNA from 1 species
AUUGAACGCUGGCGGCAUGCCUUACACAUGCAAGUCGAACGGCAGCACGGGAGCAAUCCUGGUGGCGAGUGGCGAACGGGUGAGUAAUAUAUCGGAACGUGCCCAGUCGUGGGGAUAACGUAGCGAAAGCUACGCUAAUACCGCAUACGAUCUAUGGAUGAAAGCGGGGGAUCGCAAGACCUCGCGCGAUUGGAGCGGCCGAUAUCAGAUUAGGUAGUUGGUGAGGUAAAGGCUCACCAAGCCGACGAUCUGUAGCUGGUCUGAGAGGACGACCAGCCACACUGGAACUGAGACACGGUCCAGACUCCUACGGGAGGCAGCAGUGGGGAAUAUUGGACAAUGGGCGAAAGACCUGAUCCAGCAAUGCCGCGUGAGUGAUGAAGGCCUUAGGGUUGU